rnacentral:rRNA from 1 species
UACGAAGGGGGCUAGCGUUGCUCGGAAUCACUGGGCGUAAAGCGCACGUAGGCGGACUCUUAAGUCGGUGGUGAAAUCCUGGAGCUCAACUCCAGAACUGCCUUCGAUACUGAGAGUCUCGAGUCCGGGAGAGGUGAGUGGAACUGCGAGUGUAGAGGUGAAAUUCGUAGAUAUUCGCAAGAACACCAGUGGCGAAGGCGGCUCACUGGCCCGUAACUGACGCUGAGGUGCGAAAGCGUGGGGAGCAAACAGG